rnacentral:rRNA from 1 species
GAUGAACGCUGGCGGCGUGCCUAAUACAUGCAAGUCGAGCGAACAGACGAGGAUCUUGCUCCUCUGACGUUAGCGGCGGACGGGUGAGUAACACGUGGAUAACCUACCUAUAAGACUGGGAUAACUUCGGGAAACCGGAGCUAAUACCGGAUAACAUGUUGAACCGCAUGGUUCAACAGUGAAAGACGGUUUUGCUGUCACUUAUAGAUGGAUCCGCGUCGCAUUAGCUAGUUGGUAAGGUAACGGCUUACCAAGGCAACGAUGCGUAGCCGACCUGAGAGGGUGAUCGGCCACACUGGAACUGAGACGCGGUCCAGACUCCUACGGGAGGCAGCAGUAGGGAAUCUUCCGCAAUGGGCGAAAGCCUGACGGAGCAACGCCGCGUGAGUGAAGAAGGUCUUCGGAUCGUAAAACUCUGUUAUUAGGGAAGAACAAAUGUGUAAGUAACUAUGCACGUCUUGACGGUACCUAAUCAGAAAGCCACGGCUAACUACGUG